CGGAAGGUCAUUACCGAGUGAGGGCCCUCUGGGUCCAACCUCCCACCCGUGUUUAUCGUACCUUGUUGCUUCGGCGGGCCCGCCUCACGGCCGCCGGGGGGCAUCCGCCCCCGGGCCCGCGCCCGCCGAAGACACCAAUGAACUCUUGUCUGAAGAUUGCAGUCUGAGCAGAUUAGCUAAAUCAGUUAAAACUUUCAACAACGGAUCUCUUGGUUCCGGCAUCGAUGAAGAACGCAGCGAAAUGCGAUAAGUAAUGUGAAUUGCAGAAUUCAGUGAAUCAUCGAGUCUUUGAACGCACAUUGCGCCCCCUGGUAUUCCGGGGGGCAUGCCUGUCCGAGCGUCAUUGCUGCCCUCAAGCACGGCUUGUGUGUUGGGCUUCGCCCCCCGGCUCCCGGGGGGCGGGCCCGAAAGGCAGCGGCGGCACCGCGUCCGGUCCUCGAGCGUAUGGGGCUUUGUCACCCGCUCUGUAGGCCCGGCCGGCGCCCGCCGGCGACCCCAAAUCAAUCUAUCCAGGUUGACCUCGGAUCAGGUAGGGAUACCCGCUGAACUUAAGCAUAUCAAUAAGCGGAGGAAAAGAAACCAACAGGGAUUGCCUCAGUAACGGCGAGUGAAGCGGCAAGAGCUCAAAUUUGAAAGCUGGCUCCUUCGGGGUCCGCAUUGUAAUUUGCAGAGGAUGCUUCGGGAGUGGCCCCCAUCUAAGUGCCCUGGAACGGGCCGUCAUAGAGGGUGAGAAUCCCGUCUGGGAUGGGGUGUCCACGCCCGUGUGAAGCUCCUUCGACGAGUCGAGUUGUUUGGGAAUGCAGCUCUAAAUGGGUGGUAAAUUUCAUCUAAAGCUAAAUACUGGCCGGAGACCGAUAGCGCACAAGUAGAGUGAUCGAAAGAUGAAAAGCACUUUGAAAAGAGAGUUAAACAGCACGUGAAAUUGUUGAAAGGGAAGCGCUUGCGACCAGACUCGCCCACGGGGUUCAGCCGGCAUUCGUGCCGGUGUACUUCCCCGCGGGCGGGCCAGCGUCGGUUUGGGCGGCCGGUCAAAGGCCCUCGGAAUGUAACGCCCCCCGGGGCGUCUUAUAGCCGAGGGUGCCAUGCGGCCAGCCCGGACCGAGGAACGCGCUUCGGCUCGGA
rnacentral:rRNA from 1 species